rnacentral:rRNA from 1 species
GACGGGUGAGUAACACGUGGGUAACCUGCCUGUAAGACUGGGAUAACUCCGGGAAACCGGGGCUAAUACCGGAUGCUUGUUUAACCGCAUGGUUCAAACAUAAAGGUGGCUUCGGCUACCACUUACAGAUGGACCCGCGGCGCAUUAGCUAGUUGGUGAGGUAAUGGCUCACCAAGCGACGAUGCGUAGCCGACCUGAGAGGGUGAUCGGCCACACUGGGACUGAGACACGGCCCAGACUCCUACGGGAGGCAGCAGUAGGAAUCUUCCGCAAUGGACGAAAGUCUGACGGAGCAACGCCGCGUGAGUGAUGAAGGUUUUCGGAUCGUAAAGCUCUGUUGUUAGGGAAGAACAAGUACCGUUCGAAUAGGGCGGUACCUUGACGGUACCUAACCAGAAAGCCACGGCUAACUACGUGCCAGCAGCCGCGGUAAUACGUAGGUGGCAAGCGUUGUCCGGAAUUAUUGGGCGUAAAGGGCUGCAGGCGGUUUCUUAAGUCUGAUGUGAAAGCCCCCGGCUCAACCGGGGAGGGUCAUUGGAAACUGGGGAACUUGAGUGCAGAAGAGGAGAGUGGAAUUCCACGUGUAGCGGUGAAAUGCGUAGAGAUGUGGAGGAACACCAGUGGCGAAGGCGACUCUCUGGUCUGUAACUGACGCUGAGGAGCGAAAGCGUGGGGAGCGAACAGGAUUAGAUACCCUGGUAGUCCACGCCGUAAACGAUGAG